rnacentral:rRNA from 1 species
AACGCAUUAAGCACUCCGCCUGGGGAGUACGACCGCAAGGUUGAAACUCAAAGGAAUUGACGGGGGCCCGCACAAGCGGUGGAGCAUGUGGUUUAAUUCGAAGCAACGCGAAGAACCUUACCAGGUCUUGACAUCCCGAUGCCCGCUCUAGAGAUAGAGUUUUACUUCGGUACAUCGGUGACAGGUGGUGCAUGGUUGUCGUCAGCUCGUGUCGUGAGAUGUUGGGUUAAGUCCCGCAACGAGCGCAACCCUUAUUGUUAGUUGCCAUCAUUCAGUUGGGCACUCUAGCGAGACUGCCGGUAAUAAACCGGAGGAAGGUGGGGAUGACGUCAAAUCAUCAUGCCCCUUAUGACCUGGGCUACACACGUGCUACAAUGGCUGGUACAACGAGUCGCAAGUCGGUGACGGCAAGCUAAUCUCUUAAAGCCAGUCUCAGUUCGGAUUGUAGGCUGCAACUCGCCUACAUGAAGUCGGAAUCGCUAGUAAUCGCGGAUCAGCACGCCGCGGUGAAUACGUUCCCGGGCCUUGUACACACCGCCCGUCACACCACGAGAGUUUGUAACACCCGAAGUCGGUGAGGUAACCUUUUAGGAGCCAGCCGCCUAAGGUGGGAUAGAUGAUUGGGGUGAAGUCGUAACAAGGUAGCCGUAUCGGAAGGUGCGGCUG